CGCUAUUUCGUGCAUUUAGACACGUUUCAUAUUAAUCUGAAAGCCACAUAUUUGGUAUAUUUUAUGUCAGUGAUCAAACAUUACGAUAUUACGCGCCCCCAGUUUCUCCUCGCUUUUGGAAAAAAUACCAAUAAUUGGUCCUGAAGAAAUGUAGGGAGGAGUCCAGACCCGUUACUCGCCUCCCAAUUGUGGCCACGCCUCUGAUUAUAAGAUAAAACAUAUCCAACGAACCAUAUAUAUUUAGCUAUAUCGUUAAAAUAUGUUCCAAACAAUGUGAUGGGAUCGACAAGGGAAUUAAAACUAAUACUUUAAAAUAUCCCUGAUGGAAACAAUAGACUGUGGAGUCGAAAUAUUACGUCACCAUUGACAAUGUUCAGGUUUCUGGAUGGCUUAGAAGCUAGCAGAUUUCUGAUAUUAAAUUUUGUUGCAGUGAGGCCAUUAUCUUUAAGCUGCUGCUUCUUAGCAUUCUUAAUAGCUUUUGUAGCUGUCGUUCAUUUUUAUAGGAAUGGGUCCGUUAUAGUGGAUUUUAAGGUUGUUUAUCGAAAAGAUAAGAACAACAAGAAAAUUGUGGUUGCAGAAACUGUAAGAGAACAAAUUGUUAAAACUCGAAAACUUGGAAAUUAUCAAGUGAAGAGUGCUGUCGUUCAAGG